UGAUUCUUCGGAUGAAGGUCUGGUGACUGAGUGGCGGGCGGGUGAGUAACGCGUGGGUAACCUGCCCUGUACAGGGGGAUAACAGUUGGAAACGGCUGCUAAUACCGCAUAAGCGCACGAGAGGACAUCCUCUUGUGUGAAAAACUCCGGUGGUACAGGAUGGGCCCGCGUCUGAUUAGCUGGUUGGCAGGGUAACGGCCUACCAAGGCGACGAUCCAUAGCCGGCCUGAGAGGGUGAACGGCCACAUUGGGACUGAGAUACGGCCCAGACUCC
rnacentral:rRNA from 1 species